rnacentral:rRNA from 1 species
ACCAACUUUGAACUCGACCUCAAAUCAGGUGGGACUACCCGCUGAACUUAAGCAUAUCAAUAAGCGGAGGAAAAGAAACUAACAAGGAUUCCCCUAGUAACUGCGAGUGAAGCGGGAAAAGCUCAAAUUUAAAAUCUGGCGGUCUCCUGGCCGUCCGAGUUGUAAUUUAGAGAAGCGUUUUCCGCGUCGGACCGUGUACAAGUCUCCUGGAACGGAGCGUCAUAGAGGGUGAGAAUCCCGUCUUUGACACGGACAGCCGGGGCUAUGUGAUACGCUCUCGAAGAGUCGAGUUGUUUGGGAAUGCAGCUCAAAAUGGGUGGUGAACUCCAUCUAAAGCUAAAUAUUGGCGAGAGACCGAUAGCGAACAAGUACCGUGAGGGAAAGAUGAAAAGCACUUUGGAAAGAGAGUGAAACAGUACGUGAAAUUGCUGAAAGGGAAACGCUUGAAGUCAGUCGCGUCCACCGGGACUCAGCCUUCGUGGUGUACUUUCCGGUGGACGGGUCAGCAUCACUUUCGGGUGCCGGAUAAUGGCGGAGGAAAUGUGGCACCCUUCGGGGUGUGUUAUAGUCCUUCGUCGGAUACGGUGUUCGGGAGUGAGGACUGCCUUUGUUGCAGGAUGCUGGCGUAAUGGCUUUAAACGACCCGUCUUGAAACACGGACCAAGGAGUCUAACAUGCCCGCGAGUGUUCGGGUGGCAAACCCGUGCGCGUAAUGAAAGUGAAAGGUUGGGAAGGCUGUCGUGGCCUGCACCGACGCCCGGACCUGAGAUUCAUCGACGGUUCUGCGGUAGAGCGUGUAUGUUGGGACCCGAAAGAUGGUGAACUAUGCCU